rnacentral:misc_RNA from 1 species
UACUUUUCCAUCACUGCCUUGUCGGCCGCCGCUGCGCAAAGAACUCGGAAGCCCGCAUGCUUUGAUCGCUCACUCAUUCGCUCACUCGUGCGCCUACUGGCGCGUUAAGUCUAGUGCACAACCUUCGUCAUUGACGGUUCUGAGCGCGGUAGUCGCACAGUCGGCCCAGCUCAACCGACCAGUAUUCGAUUGGCAGCGGUUCGAGCAAGAACGGCUUUCCCCUCCCAGCAGUCGGAGUUUGGGCGCGCGUGUGUUCUCAGUGACUAUUGCAAGUUCUGCCGGCCAGCUGAACGUGACUUUGAGCGGGGAGUUGCGAGUUUUCAACGGUUGCGACAGUUUUGUGACUUUCGGCGUGGCCGGGAAAGUGGCCUUUAAAUGUGGAAGAAAGUGGAUAGCUUGAAAACUAGGUGAAGUGCUGUGCUGUGUUACAAAAUAAAGUUUUUCGAGUUUUUUGAAUGGGGGAUCAAACCUUAGAAAGUGCUUCCUCUUUGCUUUAUUUUGGUUAGGGUGGC